GACGAACGCUGGCGGCGUGCUUAACACAUGCAAGUCGAACGGUGAAGCGCCUUCCUUUUUGGUGGGUGUGGAUGAGUGGCGAACGGGUGAGUAACACGUGAGUAACCUGCCCCCUUCUUCUGGAUAACCGCAUGAAAGUGUGGCUAAUACGGGAUAUUCUGGGUCUGUCGCAUGAUGGGUCUGGGAAAGAUAUUGUUUCGGUGGGGGAUGGGCUCGCGGCCUAUCAGCUUGUUGGUGGGGUGAUGGCCUACCAAGGCGGUGACGGGUAGCCGGCCUGAGAGGGUGGACGGUCACACUGGGACUGAGACACGGCCCAGACUCCUACGGGAGGCAGCAGUGGGGAAUAUUGCACAAUGGGCGCAAGUCUGAUGCAGCGACGCCGCGUAAGGGAUGGAGGCCUUCGGGUUGUGAACCUCUUUCGCCAGUGAAGCAGGCCUGCCUCGUUUGUGGGUGGGUUGACGGUAGCUGGAUAAGAAGCGCCGGCUAACUACGUG
rnacentral:rRNA from 1 species